AACAGAAUACUGUGGUCUGUAACUGAGGAUCGACUCUCUUGCCGGUAAUUGUGUGUCCCAAGCAAUGGUUCCAACAACACACUGUCACAGCAAACAGUUUAUACAUGUAAAGAGCAUCUGUCCCUGUCCGGAUCAGGAAAACAGAAAUGAGCAUCCUGGGAGAACAGUUACAUUAGUUUGUUAAUGAACUUAUAGUGAAGAGCAAUAUAUCAGAUAAUUAUCGACAGUGUGUUCUAGAGGGAAUGGAGGAUAAAGAGCCAAUCUCAUAUAUUGACUGACUGUUUACACUGAAUUACUGCAGAUAACAGCAGAUACAAGAAUAGGAUCUGCUUUGUUUCCUCCAGGUUCAUCACAGGAGAUGCUGGCUGGAUUUCCCAUCAAAUAGCCAUUCUAAUGUAAUGGAGAACAUUAUCAAGCCCCAGCAUAUAACAUCGUGACAAGAGACAAGCUUUGUGCACAUAAUUCCUCUUACACUCUUAGUGUUAAUCGAUUGGUGCGCACCAAGUACCCCAUAGAACAGGACUCAAUACAUGUUUGUUUUAAGGAGCUAUUCCACAGAACUAUGAGAAAUAGUUUAUUAGUAACUAAACAGAUGUGCAAUCAAUAAAAUUGUCCCUUUAA